GAUGAAGAACGUAGCGAAAUGCGAUAAGUAAUGUGAAUUACAGAAUUCAGUGAAUCAUCGAAUCUUUGAACGCACCUUGCACCCUUUGGACUGCUCCAAAGGGUAUGCUCGUUUGAGUGUCAUUGUACUCUCACACUCUCUGAUCCUUUGGAUUUGGGGAGCAGUGGACUUGGGUGCUUGCUGCUUCCUUGUGGCUCACCUGAAAUGCAUCAGUGCAUCUCUCGAUUGGACAUAGUACGGCGUGAUAAGUGUCUUCGCCGGCACCUCAUAUGAGGGUGGCCGAUCGGGAGCUCUGUGCUUUCAAACCGUCUUCGGACAACGCUGACAACUUGACCUCAAAUCGAGUAGGACUACCCGCUGAACUUAAGCAUAUCAAUAAGCGGAGGA
rnacentral:misc_RNA from 1 species